rnacentral:rRNA from 1 species
CCCUUAGAUGUUCUGGGCGGCCCGCGCACUACAAUGGCGUGUGCAGCGAGUGCCGAAGUAGAGUUUUCCGAGGUAUUCUUGCAAUGCUCGUUUUGAUGGGGAUAGACCCUUGCAACUGUUGGUUUUGAACGAGGAAUUCCUUGUAAGCAUGGUUUAUCAUCCGACGCUGAAUGCGUCCCUGCCCUUUGUACACACCGCCCGUCGCUCCUACCGAUGAGUCGUCCGGUGAAGUUCGUAGACCUCGUGAUCGCGGAUCACUGGGGGAAGCAAAAUGAACCUCACGGUUUAGAGGAAGGAGAAGUCGUAACA